rnacentral:rRNA from 1 species
GAUGAACGCUGGCGGCAUGCCUAAUACAUGCAAGUCAAACGGGUGUAGCAAUACACAAGUGGCGAACGGGUGAGUAACACGUGGGUAACCUGCCCAUAAGAGGGGGAUAACAUCCGGAAACGGGUGCUAAUACCGCAUAGUUUUCUUGAUCGCAUGAUCGAGAAAGGAAAGACGGCCUUUGUGCUGUCGCUUAUGGAUGGACCCGCGGCGUAUUAGUUAGUUGGUGAGGUAACGGCUCACCAAGACGAUGAUACGUAGCCGACUGAGA